GUUUGUAAUCACCAACUUCAUCUAAAUUUCUUCCACUUGAAAAGGCAAGUUCAGGUCUUAUAUAUUCUACCCUGCUUCUUACCCAUCACUACAUUUACUGAAUAUUUACUUCCUUACUUUUAACCAUUUAACUAUUUCUAAAGUUAUUGAUUACUAAGGUAACAGCCUAGAAUCAUAUCCUUGGCUAAUAAAAGCUAUUUAUGCCAAGGGACAUAAAUAGUCCAGUGCAUGCUAGCAUACAAAAUGCUUCAGGAUAAAAGUUUAUUUCUGAUGCAAAUUAAGUCAAAGACUGAUUUUGAAACAUUUUCUAUGAUUAAAUCUUGGCCAAUCACCAUCUACCAGAAAUAGCAGUGUUUGUGACUACCUGAUUCUCAGUCAAGUUCUCAUCUCUUCUAUCAUGUCAGAACAGGCUUUCCAUUAGAUGAUCCAGGACUUUCUGUCCGGCAAAGUCUAUGUUUAUGCGUUAGCAAAAGGUUAUUGGCACAGGCAACAUCAACUGAAGUACAUCUUCUUUCUGCACAACUUGUUUUUGCUUAAGACGAUCAGGCACUUAAGUGCUUACUGCCAGUUACCUAAAUACACUUCCACUCUACCAUGAAGGGUAAUUAUGGCAACCCUGCACAACAAGACUAAUUUUGUCUGUCUAUAAAAUGUUUUCAUGGUAUACAAUUUCCUUGAUAUUUUGACAGACCAGACUUAUGUAUAUAUAAAUAUUUGUGGUUGCUAAGCUACCAAAUAUAUUUAUUUUAGACCUUGUAUAAUGUUAUUUUGAGGCAGAAUAUAUUGCUUUUUUAGACCUCAUAGUGAGAGAGGUUUACAGAUUAAUGUAUGCUUUUCUGUUGUUUCCAGUGCAAGUCUUUCUUGAAGUGCACAGAGACGUCUGACAGCUGUGACAUUCAUGGGCAAUGCAUUUGAGAAAGAAGACAUAAAUAUUCAGAGACAUAUUAGAAUGCUGUUCAAUGUACGUUUAGAGAGUGCCUUGCAAGGGAAGAAGAGGGAAAUUUGGAGAAACGACCAUUUUCUUUUAUUUCCAAAAUGGGUCGAUUUUAUUUUAAAUGUUCAUCUGGAAAAAGCUUGUCCAAGAAACUUCCAAAAUUUAUUGGUCAUUCUCAAC
rnacentral:lncRNA from 1 species